GGCGAACGGGUGAGUAACACGUGAGUAACCUGCCCUUGACUUUGGGAUAACUUCAGGAGACUGGGGCUAAUACCGGAUAGGAGCUCCUGCUGCAUGGUGGGGGUUGGAAAGUUUCGGCGGUUGGGGAUGGACUCGCGGCUUAUCAGCUUGUUGGUGGGGUAGUGGCUUACCAAGGCUUUGACGGGUAGCCGGCCUGAGAGGGUGACCGGCCACAUUGGGACUGAGAUACGGCCCAG
rnacentral:rRNA from 1 species